rnacentral:rRNA from 1 species
UUACGACCACAUCAUGUUGAAGCACCGGUUCCCGUUCGAUCACCGAAGCUAAGCAACGUCGAGCCUGAUCAGUACCUAGAUGGGUAACCGCUUGAGAAUACCAGGUAUUGUAAG